UUAAAAUGCCAUUUGCAAAAUAUUCCCCAGCAGUAUGAGAUUUUUGUUUUCUUACCCUACAUACAGACUGUGAAAACAAAGCUUCUCCUUGAUUAGAGACAUUCAUGCAAUGAAAAACCUGCAAAUUUUUUUUUUGUUAUAUUAACAAAAAAUAAUCAAAAGAAUAAAGGUAUGUAUAUUGAUAAUGAUAUCCAUAUCAUUUAUUACAUAUGAGAACAAACAAACCGAAAGGUUUUGGAGUGUAGCAAGAGGACAGAAGCAGUCAAUUCAUAGCAGUACAAUAUGAUUGGAGUGUGUAAAAGCAUAUAUUAAAAGGGUAAAGUUUGGUGCCAUUUCUGUCAUGAGAUGUAAGAGUUCACACUGUGUUGAUUUCCCAAACAAUUAAAGCUCCUCCCCACACCUCAAAAGUACCAUAUAACUUGAAAGUCAUGUCUUUAUUAAUCUUCCUUGGGCAGAUAACACUUGUCAUAUCUAAUUAUCACCUUUAUUUUCAACUUUGAUAUAUGCAUUAUUCCACCAAUUACUAGAUUUCUUUUGAACUAUAGCUGUAUGAAGGUGAAUGGAUUAUGGAGUUUUUUUCUAGGCUUUUUAAGACACUCAGUCUUCAUCAUCUUCUCUUCUAGUGGAGAACAUAUGGCUUCAAAAAUUCCCCUGGACUGGAGUCAACAUGUGAAUAAUACUAUGAUCUUGUUACGUGUUACUCUUGUGCUUAAAGGCACUGAGCUCAGUGCAGCAACAGAUGUGUUUGAAAUAAGCCAUGUGAAAAGCUUUCACAGCUUUAAAGUCAUCAGCUAUGAUAUAGCACUGAAACCAAGGGAGGAAGGAAGGGCGAGAUUUGUGCUCUCUUUUCUUAAUAUCUUUUCUUCUCUAGAUUAAUACUAUACAAAGAGCAAUUCCACUGUUGGUCUCCCUCCAUGUCUUUGCAUGAUGCAUCUCAAUCAUUACCCUGUUAUGUACUAAUAAAUCAUGGAAAUUGUUCAUUCUGGUAAUAUGUGCUUUGUAAACUCAUUUUAGAAUAACAUUUACUAAAUAAAUAAAUAAAUAAAUGAAAAUACUGAUGCUGUUUGUUUGGAAUUGGCUGUUGAAUGUUUGGGAGCCCUUUAUAACCAUAAAAAAUUACAGUGAUAUUCACAAGGGAGGGUUUAUAGAAGGUGAUCAUGUAAGAUAAUUUUUAUGCAGAGAAAUACUGAAAGAAGUUUAUAAAAAGGAGCAACAGACUGUAAUAUGUAAUUCUCUUAAGCAAUAAUAAAUUGCCCAUAUAGAGUUAAUGUUCUCCAGACAUUUCUUUUAAAAGACUUGAAAAGAACUAAUUAAUGUUGCACAUUUCAAGCUAAGCAAAUUGCAGUGAUAAAUGGGAUUACUGGAAGCUAUCAAUGCAAUUCAUAACUGAAGGAAAAGAGCAAAACAUCACUCAGAACGUUAAGGAAUGCAAUUAGGCAAAACAUUUGGAAGUACUUAAUUAUCUGCAGAGGACAGUUAAAUGAGAUCUGGUGCUUUGCAUUAGUAGCAAUAUCAAAUCUUCAAAAGGUUACUUAAGAGUAAAGUAAGUAGACCAUUUGCUGUCUGAUUUGACAUGCAAGAAAAGUUUUCUUUAUUGUUAAAUUGAGCAAACAUCUGAAAAACAAUUUCUUAACAAUUAAAAAGUUUGAAUUUAAAUCAGUUAAGACAGCUAAAUUUGAGCCAGAGUGGCUAGAAUACUAUGCAGGGGACCUAGGAGGUGUUGGUCAAUUCUUGGCUAAACAUGAGUCAGCAGUGUGCCCAGGUGGACAAAUUGGCCGAUGGCAUCCUGGCUUGUAUUAGAAAUAGUGUAUUCAGCAGGACCAUGGAGGUGAUCGUCCUUCUGUACUCAGCACUGGUGAGGCUGCACCUUGAGUACCGUCUUCAGUUUUGAGCUCCUUACUCCAAAAAAGACAUUGAGGACAUGGAGCGUGUCCAGAGAAAAGCAAUGAAGCUGGUGAGGGAACGGGAGCACAAGUCUUAUGAGGAGCAGCUGAGAGAACUGGGAUUGUUUAGUCUGGAGAAGAGGAUGCUCAGGGGAGACCUUAUUGCCCUCUACAACUACCUGAAAGGAGAUUGUGGAGAAGUGGGGAUUGAUCUCUUCUUCUGGGUAACUAAUGAUAAAACUGGAGGGAAUGGCCUCAAGUUGCACCAGGAGAGGUUCAAUUUGGAUGUUAGGAAAAAUUUCUUCUCCAAAAGGCUGUUCAGGUGCUGUAAUGGGCUGCACAGGGAAGUGGUUGAGUCACUGGCCCUGGAGGUGCUCGAGAAAUGUGUGGAUACGGUACUAAGGAACAUGAUUUAGUUGGCAAUAGUGGUGGCAGGAGGAUAGUUGGACUAACUGAUCUUAGAGGACUUUUCCAAGCUUAAUGAUCCUAUGAUUCUAAUAAACAGAUUUUCUUUUUGGUCUUUUUUUUUUUUUUUUUAGUAUAAUGAAUGUUCACCAAAAUUAAAAAAACAAUGCAAGACAAUAGGGUGAACAGUAAAUCAACUGGAGUGUGAUUCCAGAAGUUGCAAAGCAAUAUGGUCCUAAUUUUAAACCCUUAAAAUGUAUAUGUUUUCAUUGAUUUCACCUGUCAUAACAUUCUUCUUUGGAGGUUGAACCAAGGACAUCAGUGUAAUAGGUAUGGCUCUUGAAGAUGUGUUAAAUCACACAUGCUCUCUGUUAUUUAUGUAUAAUCUAUCUUUGUAAAAACACCAGAAAGUGAACAAGCCUUGGGUGGGUUGGUAUGAACUAGUUUGUGUUCAUGCAAGAACAAGCAUCCUCUAGAGAAGAAAAUCCAUGUUGAGCGUAUUUAUAAACUGGGAGAACUCUGGCAUUAUUUGUGUCGUUGCCACUUUUGGGGAGUAGGACUUCAAGAGAUCAUAGAAUCAUAGAAAGGCUUGGGUUGGAAGGAACCUUAAAGAUCAUCUUGUUCCAACCCCCUAGUAUGGACAAGGUUGCUACCCCCUAGAUCAGGCUGCCCAGGGCCCCACCCAACCUGGCCUUGAACACCUUCAGGGAUGGAACAUUCCCAGCUUCUCUGGGCAACCUGCUCCAGUGCCUCACUACCCUCUGAGUAAAAAAAUUACUCAUAAUAUCUAAUCUAAAUCUUCCCCUUUUUAGUUUAAAAUCAUUUCCCCUUGUCUGCUGCUUCCACCUGAAAGGUGAUGUUUUGGUCUUCUCAUAUGGGAGCUCAGGAAUAAAGUAGAGUAUAUCUGAAAGAAAGUUCACAAUGGAGCUACAUUUCUCUUGCCUUCUUUUAGUUUAUUUCAGUAUUCAUUCUUGGAAAUAUUGUGACUAUAGUAUUGCCAGACAUCACAAGUUUAUAUUCAUUACUCAGAAGGUACACUGUCAAAUACAUAGGCCAAAACCACUGAGUUGUGCCUCUUCAACAUUCUAAAUCAAUAAAGCUUCACCUAAAAAUUAUCCCUAUUUCAAGUUUUGUUGGCACAUUUUGCAUCUCAAAUACAUAGGUACGUGUAUUCUAUAGCUAUUUUCUGCUUAUUAAUGAUAUGAAUGGAAUAUUAUGAAAUGAUAAAAAAGCAAACAAAGCAAAUACCACUAGUAAGGUUGUUGCAGAUUUCUCUUGAAACCCAGAUCUAAUCUAGAAUUGUUUCUGUUGUGAUACCAAGCAAGUUGAACAGUUACAAGGUAUGUUUUUAAAUUUACUGUUUAAAUCUCCAUAGCUUUCACAGAAAAGAAGUUUUAAUGUCCUUUAGCAAGUGUCUAACAUAACUCUUAUCUGUUCCAUUGACCACAUGGAUAACAUUAGCAUUUUAGUGUUAAUGUCAGGACAAAGUACUGAAAAAUAAGUGGUGAAGUCUUGUUCAACAUAAUACAUAAAUAUGCUUCUAUUUAAUUUUAGUUCUGCUUCAUGGAAAUUAUUCUGACCUGUACACAUAUUGUAUUUUAUUUAAAAUAAAAGGGAAGCUAAUUGAAAAAUAGGGAUAUCUCAAAAGUAUAGCUGGUGAAACAGCAUUGUAGAACUAAAAAGUAUUUUAGAGAGUAACAAAUAUUUAAAGAAAUCAGAUUACAUGAAUGGAGGAAACUUAUUUUUAAGUUGAGAAAGUUUGAUUAAAACAGUUCUGGGAGGAAAAAGUCUUCUAUAUUUCUUAUCUAUGUAUGUGUAAUUUAUUGCUGUUCUCACCUCAAAGACAACUUCCAGAGGAAAAUUUCUUUAGAAAAAUGAUUAAAGUUAUGGAAAAAAUGACUUUUUCUUAUUGUAAUACUGCAGUCUCAUGAAGAGUUUGAAUGAGAUUCUGUAAGUCAAAAAUGAAAGGAGGAAACAUCUUUGCUUUCACCAUUUUUUUUCAAAGAUGCUUGUCUUUCUGACCAAGUUUAUUGAGUUGUCCCUCUUUGUGAAUACUGUGUCACACUUUGGAUGCCAUAUAAAUGCAUGUUAAUGCUAUUAUCUGCCUUUUUAAGGCUCUUUUAUGCCUCUUGACUGCUUUGAUCUUAGAUAUCUCAGACUACUUCUUGCUAGAGCAGCCUCUUAUAAUUCGAAAAGAUGUGUGCAUUCUUAGAGACGAGGGCUUAAAACAUUGCCACAACUUGUAAUAUUACCUAUUCUUUCUCUUAUACUUCAGUAUUUCAGUUCACAAACAAGUACAGAGGAAGGACUUUGCAUUGAUAUCUGUGUGACAGUGUUUCUUACUACCAAAAAAAAAAUAAAAAAAGGGCAGAGGGGGAAGAGGUACUGAUUUCAGUAGCUCUUUUUCUGGCUGGAUUGAAAGUGAAACAUGAUUUUGCAUAGAAAUUUUCUCUGCUAAAAUAAGUUACAAUAUUCUUCCUGCUAGAAAUAUAGUGACUGUGGCCUAAGAACAGAGGAAUGCUGCUCAUUUUUGUUGGAAGCUGCAGAUUUAGAGAACAGUAAGAAUAAAGGCUGUUCAGAAUAUAUGCUCUUCACUAUCCAGUCUUCCAGAUUUUAGAGGUUCUAUCCUUGGAUUGAUCUUAGCAAGAAAUGAAGUUAUUCAUGUAUUUAAUUUGCAAAUAAUUUUUCUAAAAAUAGAAGUGGGGAAAAUUGCAAGUUUUCUAGCACAUGCUGCUUCAGGUAUGAUGGAAGUUUACACAAAAAGCUGAGUGCACAAUGAUUUGGCCACUUCUGGGACACAGAAUGAUGUCUCAAAUACAUAAAGUUCAUGGUUACCAGCUGCUUUAGCUAUAUCAAGUAAUCAAAGGAAGGCAACACAACACGUUGACUGCACUUUUAGGAGCUUGAAGACUUUCUGUAAGCAUUACUAGUCCUCAGAGUUGUUUUUUUUUCCUUUAAGAUUAUGUAUCUUAAUUUCCAAUUAAUUGAAUUUUGAAAGUGUGUGGGAUUGAAAUGGGACAAGACAUCCAGUUGUAAUGUAGAAAUGUUUGGUAUCCUCUACCUUAAGAAGAAGAGGGAUCUCUGUUGACAAAUGUAACUCAGGUCUUGAGUGUAGCAAAACUUCCAUGUUGAUUAGUCCUCCUUCAAAAUGACACUAUAAUAUUUAUUUCAUGACUUUUAUUUUAGUUUACUGUAAUGACUUAGCAUUUCUCUACCUCUCAUACUUUGGAGUAUUUACAAAUUUGCAGGGUUUUUUUAUUUUUAUUUUUGGAAAGAGUCACGAAAAAAAUGUGCAAACCUUCAAGGACUUUUGACAUAAGCUGUGAAGCCCAGAUAACCAGGGUUUUUCCUGAGGCUAUGUGAAUAGGUUAGGCAAAAAAAUGAUACUAUGUAACUUCUGCUACAGCAGAUAUUAUGGUAAUUAGAACACUUGAAUGAGAACUGCUGUUAAUGUAUUUCAUAGGGUCCACAGAGUGUUAUAUGCACACUGGUAAUUAUUUAUAAAAAACAUGCAAUUUUUUUUUUUUUGUCUGGCUCAGUAUAGGGCUCCCUGGACUUAUUUGGAACCAGAGAAAAAUGGAUGGCAGAUCUUUACUUCUUAUUUCAGUCCAUUUAAUGCAAGCAGAUGGGAGUCAGGUUGAUGAUUCGUUUUAACGAUUUAGUUGGCUAAUUUGUCCCACAGUUGCUCAUUCCCUUAACUUUCAUUCAUGGUUUGAAGAACCUGUAAGUGUAUUCCCUUUGUGCAAUAAAGAGUAAAAUAAG